rnacentral:tRNA from 1 species
GCCGGUGCAGCAGACCUUCGGCGCUUCAGCAUCCGUUUUGUAAACCGAAGGUCGGGGGUUCAAUCCCCUCAGCCGGCA